GGUGGGGCGGGGCCAGUUAAGGAGCGGAGGAGCCUGACUUCCGGGGCGGGGCCUUUGUUUCCUCAACCUGCGAAACAAAGACCGACCACGUAAGGAAGCGCGGUGCCACGGGAGUGUCCUUUCACCUUCAGCUUCAAAGGACUUGGGCAAGAGUGGAUAGAAGCAGCAGCAAGUCCAUAAACAGCAGCAGGACAGUACGAUCCCUGCACUCCAAAAUAGGACAAAGAGCUUUAUGUGCUAAACUAGACAAAGGAGCUGUAAAGGUAUCUUGGAUCACCUACAUUGCUGUCCUACGUGCUUCAAAUAUCAGGGGAGGCAGAGACAGCAUGAGAUCAAAAACUCUGGGCAAAGGAUCAGACCCACCCACUGGCGUCACUUCUCCCACCACAUCUGGCCAUCCCGGAAUGCCCCAUCUGUGAGCUACUGACCUCACCAUCCAUCUGGACUACAAAAGACACAGGGAAGCGUCUCGCAGGCGAUUUGAUAGUUUAGGCAAUGAUCUCCCCGUGUUGGACACCAUCUCGCUUGAGGAGCUCUCUUCAAAGGGGCACCUUCCACUGCAGUGAGGUUUUGCUUCCCACGAGGACUGCUUCCACCCUAACUUGAGCACUUAGAUUUUAAUCAUCUUGGGACUCACUAGUAUCUCCUGCAAGAUUCAAAAACCCAAAAAGGGAAAACUGUCUUUGUAUAUCAAUCAACCAUAUGAUUCGUGAAAUUCUACUUUCACGAUCUCCUUAUUUUAACCAUGAAAAUGAAUCUACAACUGAAAAAACUCAAGAAAAUAUUACAAGAGUACUAUAGUUUAGCAGUUGCUUAAAUUGUUAUCUUUUGCAGACAUUUUAAUUUCACUGUAUUAUAUAUUUAUUAUAAAAAUUCAUUUAGUAGUUACUGGACAAUUACUUACACAGAAUAUCUCAUCAAACUGUCAUAAAAACCAAAGUUCAGUUAGGCAGACAUAAAAAGUAUGAAUUAGUAGCUGUGCUUCUUUUUAUCCUGUAGGAAUCUGUAAGUAUUAACAAGAUUAUGAAACCAGCAAUUGCUUCAGAGGUCAUUUUUAUUAGCCA